rnacentral:rRNA from 1 species
UACGUAGGGUGCUAGCGUUGUUCGGAUUCACUGGGCGUAAAGGGUGCGUAGGCGGUCGGGUAAGUCUGAUGUGAAAUCUCACAGCUUAACUGUGAAACUGCAUUGGAUACUAUCCGGCUAGAGGAAUGGAGGGGAGACUGGAAUUCCUGGUGUAGCGGUGGAAUGCGCAGAUAUCAGGAGGAACACCGGUGGCGAAGGCGGGUCUCUGGGCCGUUACUGACGCUGAGGAGCGAAAGCGUGGGGAGCGAACAGG